rnacentral:rRNA from 1 species
UACGUAGGGCGCGAGCGUUAUCCGGAAUUAUUGGGCGUAAAGAGCUCGUAGGCGGUUUGUCACGUCUGCUGUGAAAACUGGAGGCUCAACCUCCAGCCUGCAGUGGGUACGGGCAGACUAGAGUGCGGUAGGGGAGAUUGGAAUUCCUGGUGUAGCGGUGAAAUGCGCAGAUAUCAGGAGGAACACCGGUGGCGAAGGCGGGUCUCUGGGCAGUAACUGACGCUGAGGAGCGAAAGCCAGGGGAGCAAACGGG